UGGUGAAGUGCCUGAUUCUGAGACGGGAGGUUACCCCAGCGGAUGCAGAAGACUUCAGUGUCCUCACCUGGGUUUUAUUAAGAGGUGGAAAGGCUCAGGUCAAGAGAGCAGAGGAGAAAGAAACUGUGUUGCUGACUCAAUGCGAGGAUGCAGACGUGAUGGAUGGAGCUUGUGCAGCCAUUCUUAGUCCAUGAAGCACUGGACCAGAAAUGUCAGAACAGCACACAGGGAGAAGCCUGGGAAGGAGUGUGGUGACAUCUGUCUACGGAGAGGCUCCAUGUCCAAGAGAC